AUGCCGAACGCAACAUGGACGGUAUACGCACGGCAGCAUUUACGUUGGGUGGUUGGGCCGCCAAACAAACUCGUUGGUUUUUCUAGCCAGUCCCCCAAACUUGUUGGGUGGUUGAGCCUGUUUAUUGACAUGAUAAAAGAUUUCCCAAAUCGAAGGAAGAACCACCCAAAGUUCAUCAAACUUAAUGUGGACGCGGCCUUUUUUGCGGAUCAAGGAGUUGGAGCUAUGGCAGCAAUUAUUAGAGAUGAACGAGGUAUUUUCUUUGCAGCUCAAUGUAAGUUUAUCCCAUAUGCAGCGGACGCAAUGACAUCAGAGGCAAUGCGAUGA
rnacentral:rRNA from 1 species